UAAUGAUGAAAUGAACUUCAGUAACCCGUUCAAUACAUUCAUUAUAUACUGAGAUUUCAUCUAUUAUUGAAGCAAGUUUCAAUGUUUGGCAUGAAGCCGGCUCUAACACUUGUCAGAUUUCAAGUACCUGUUUUCAUUAUUUUUUUUGCUCAAAUUUUCAAAAAAAGUGUAAUGGCAUGUGUUAUCAGAUAUGGUAUGCAUCAUGUCCCUGGUUAUCCCCGAAGUAGAACGGGUUCUUGACCGUGCUACCAAGUCGUGUUACUUUUCGAUGAAAAACUGGAAUUCCCUGCUAAAACUACACGAGUAAAACAAGAAAAAAUAUUCAUCUAUUGCAAUAACUUGCUCCUAGAUUGCCAA